rnacentral:rRNA from 1 species
GCAUUCCCAGCAAGAUUGAGAAAGUUUUGCGCGCUCUCAACGAAGCCGACGCCACCGAGUUCUCACGCCAGAUGGACCUGGCUGCUCGGUUGCACGACCAGUGCAAUUCCGUUCUGGGCAACGUCAAGGAAGUCAGCCGUCCGAACUCGGACAAGAUCUCCUAUGACCUGCUGCAAAUGAUCGGCACGCAACUGGCCGACUUCAAGCACGUGGUUUUCGCCAUGCGCACCACCCUGGGACGAGACGAGACCCUCGAGCACUACAAGGUGGAAGAGACCGAUAGCGCACAAGUA